GAACCGUCCAAACGUUAUUCGGAAUCACUGGGCUUAAGGGGGUGCGUAGGCGGCGCGGAAAGUUGGGGUGUGAAAUACCUCGGGCUCAACCGAGGAACUGCGCCCAAAACUGCCGUGCUCGAGGGAGAUAGAGGUGAGCGGAACUUAGGGUGGAGCGGUGAAAUGCGUUGAUAUCCUAAGGAACACCGGUGGCGAAGGCGGCUCACUGGAUCUCUUCUGACGCUGAGGCACGAAAGCUAGGGUAGCGAACGGGAUUAGAUACCCCGGUAGUCCUAGCCGUAAACGAUGAGCACUGGAUUGGAGGGUCCUCCAUAGCCUUCCAGUCGCAACGAAAGCGUUAAGUGCUCCGCCUGGGGAGUAUGGUCGCAAGGCUG
rnacentral:rRNA from 1 species